UGCCAUUCUCCAAACCCUUGCAGACUCUAAGGGUUCAAUUUCUUGAUGGCAACCAGCAUUCUGGCACCAUCGAUAAACCGUGCAAGUGUCUUGGAGUCCACCCAACCCUUAGAUACAGUUCCAAAAUGCCCAGAUCCCAACACCAAAGCAGAGUCGAAGUUCCUUGUGGCCAUUUUCAGAUCAGCAAGGGUAUAAAUCUUCAAAUUUGAUGUGGGCAAUGUCUUUUCAGACUCAUCGCUUGUUGCGAUAGAAAACUAGCUAAGCUCUGGACUGCUGUUCGCCGUAAAUGGCAAAAAUCUCUCCCAAUUCCUUUCAUUUACUUUACUGGAAGAAGCUUCAAGUUGGAGACUCCGGUCAUGAACUGGAGAAUCUAGUUGAAAGUUGAAACUAGAGGACGCGGAGCUUAUACUCGAUUCCCCUCGAGUGAGCUAAAGCUAAUUGCCCAUCCU
rnacentral:lncRNA from 1 species